rnacentral:rRNA from 1 species
CAAACCAAAGCUGGCGACCGGCGCACGGGUGAGUAACACGUAUCCAACCUGCCUCAUACUCGGGGAUAGCCUUUCGAAAGAAAGAUUAAUAUCCGAUAGCAUAUAUUUCCCGCAUGGGUUUUAUAUUAAAGAAAUUCGGUAUGAGAUGGGGAUGCGUUCCAUUAGUUUGUUGGGGGGGUAACGGCCCACCAAGACUACGAUGGAUAGGGGUUCUGAGAGGAAGGUCCCCCACAUUGGACUGAGACACGGCCAA